AGAAUAGUAUUUUAUUUAAAAAAAUCUAAUCUGCAAUUAGAUAAAGCCUCCGCCUAUUCU
rnacentral:tRNA from 1 species